UACGUAGGGGGCAAGCGUUGUCCGGAUUUACUGGGCGUAAAGAGCGUGUAGGCGGCCAAGCAGGUCCGUUGUGAAAACUGGAGGCUUAACCUCCAGACGUCGACGGAAACCGCGUGGCUAGAGUCCGGAAGAGGAGAGUGGAAUUCCUGGUGUAGCGGUGAAAUGCGCAGAUAUCAGGAAGAACACCAAUGGCGAAGGCGACUACCUGGCCUGUUCUUGACGCUGAGGCGCGAAAGCUAGGGGAGCAAACGGG
rnacentral:rRNA from 1 species